rnacentral:rRNA from 1 species
AUGAUUGGUCUAUUCUGGAACAUUAGAGGCCUGAAUGGGCCUAUCAAAUGCAACAAGUUGAAAGAGCUUAUUAUAGCUCAUAAACCUGAUUUUAUUAGUAUUUCAGAAUCUAAGAAAGAAGACUUCACCCCUCUUCAGCUGGAAGUCUUUGAUGUUAGAUCCUGCUUCACCUGGAAAUGGCUCCCUGCUAAUAACACUACUGGAGGCAUUCAGGUAGGGAUUAGGGGAUAUCUUUUUGAUAUUGUUUGCUGUGACAUACACACUUAUAGUGUCUCUUGUUUGCUCAAAAACAAACAAGAUGGAUCUUCUUGGGUAUUGAUCUCCAUUUAUGGUCCUGUUUAUGAUCAAUAUAAACUGGACUUUAUUAAUGAGCUGCACAACUUGCUUACUGGUUGGACCGGUCCAACUCUGGUAGGUGGUGAUUUCAAUUUAAUUAGAGAGGCC